AAUGACUCUCGGCAACGGAUAUCUCGGCUCUCGCAUCGAUGAAGAACGUAGCGAAAUGCGAUACUUGGUGUGAAUUGCAGAAUCCCGUGAACCAUCGAGUUUUUGAACGCAAGUUGCGCCCGAAGCCUUUGGCUUAGGGCACGUCUGCCUGGGCG
rnacentral:rRNA from 1 species